rnacentral:pre_miRNA from 1 species
UACGUACUCCCUCCGUCUGAAAAUACUUGUCAUCAAAAUGGAUAAAAAAGGAUGUAUCUAGAACUAAUAUACAUCUAGAUACAUCCUCUUUUAUUCAUUUUGAUGACAAUUAUUUCCGGACGGAGGUAGUAUGUG